AUUGAACGCUGGCGGAAUGCUUUACACAUGCAAGUCGAACGGUAGAGGGGGCAACCCCUCGAGAGUGGCGAACGGGUGAGAAAUAUAUCGGAACGUGCCCAGUCGUGGGGGAUAACGUAGCGAAAGUUACGCUAAUACCGCAUACGAUCUAAGGAUGAAAGCGGGGGAUCGCAAGACCUCGCGCGAUUGGAGCGGCCGAUAUCAGAUUAGGCAGUUGGUGGGGUAAAGGCUCACCAAGCCAACGAUCUGUAGCUGGUCUGAGGGGACGACCAGCCACACUGGAACUGAGACACGGUCCAGACUCCUACGGGAGGCAGCAGUGGGGAAUUUUGGACAACGGACGCAAGUCUGAUCCAGCCAUUCCGCGUGCAGGAUGAAGGCCCUCGGGUUGUAAACUGCUUUUGUACGGAACGAAAAGGUCUCUCUUAAUACGGGGGACUCAUGACGGUACCGUAAGAAUAAGCACCGGCUAACUACGUGCCAGCAGCCGCAGUAA
rnacentral:rRNA from 1 species